rnacentral:rRNA from 1 species
GUGGGGAAUCUUGCGCAAUGGGCGAAAGCCUGACGCAGCCAUGCCGCGUGGAUGAUGAAGGUCUUAGGAUUGUAAAAUCCUUUCACCGGUGAAGAUAAUGACUGUAGCCGGAGAAGAAGCCCCGGCUAACUUCGUGCCAGCAGCCGCGGUAAUACGAAGGGGGCUAGCGUUGCUCGGAUUUACUGGGCGUAAAGGGCGCGUAGGCGGACAUUUAAGUCAGGGGGGAAAUCCCGGGGCUCAACCUCGGAACUGCCUUUGAUACUGGGUGUCUUGAGUAUGAGAGAGGUGUGUGGAACUCCGAGUGUAGAGGUGAAAUUCGUAGAUAUUCGGAAGAACACCAGUGGCGAAGGCGACACACUGGCUCAUUACUGACGCUGAGGCGCGAAAGCGUGGGGAGCAAACAGGAUUAGAAACCCUAGUAGUCC